rnacentral:rRNA from 1 species
UUCGCCCUUAGAGUUUGAUCCUGGCUCAGGAUGAACGCUGGCGGCGUGCCUAAUACAUGCAAGUCGAGCGAACCACUUCGGUGGUGAGCGGCGAACGGGUGAGUAACACGUAGGUGAUCUGCCCAUCAGACGGGGACAACGAUUGGAAACGAUCGCUAAUACCGGAUAGGACGAAAGUUUAAAGGUGCUUCUGGCACCGCUGAUGGAUGAGCCUGCGGCGCAUUAGCUAGUUGGUAGGGUAAAGGCCUACCAAGGCGACGAUGCGUAGCCGACCUGAGAGGGUGAACGGCCACACUGGGACUGAGACACGGCCCAGACUCCUACGGGAGGCAGCAGUAGGGAAUCUUCGGCAAUGGGCGAAAGCCUGACCGAGCAACGCCGCGUGAAUGAUGAAGGCCUUCGGGUUGUAAAAUUCUGUUAUAAGGGAAGAACGACUUUAGUAGGAAAUGGCUAGAGUGUGACGGUACCUUAUGAGAAAGCCACGGCUAACUACGUGCCAGCAGCCGCGGUAAUACGUAGGUGGCGAGCGUUAUCCGGAAUUAUUGGGCGUAAAGAGCGCGCAGGUGGUUGAUUAAGUCUGAUGUGAAAGCCCACGGCUUAACCGUGGAGGGUCAUUGGAAACUGGUCGACUUGAGUGCAGAAGAGGGAAGUGGAAUUCCAUGUGUAGCGGUGAAAUGCGUAGAGAUAUGGAGGAACACCAGUGGCGAAGGCGGCUUCCUGGUCUGUAACUGACACUGAGGCGCGAAAGCGUGGGGAGCAAACAGGAUUAGAUACCCUGGUAGUCCACGCCGUAAACGAUGAGUGCUAAGUGUUGGGGGUCGAACCUCAGUGCUGAAGUUAACGCAUUAAGCACUCCGCCUGGGGAGUACGGUCGCAAGACUGAAACUCAAAGGAAUUGACG